GACGAACGCUGGCGGCGUGCCUAAAACAUGCAAGUCGAACGAGGUAGCAAUACCUAGUGGGCGAACGGCGGAGUAAGACAUAAGCAACGUGCCCUGAAGACUGGGAUAUACAGCCGAAAGGCUGGGCAAUACCGGAUGUGGCAGCAACCCGGCAUCGGGAGGCUAUCAAAUGGUUUUCGCUUCUGGAGCGGCGUUAUGGCCUAUCAGGUAGUUGGUGGGGUAAGUGGCCCGACCAAGGCGGACGACGGGUAGGCUGGUCUGAGAGGAUGGCCAGCCACAUUGGG
rnacentral:rRNA from 1 species